GAUAUGUGGUUUAUACAAAAGAAGGAGCAUUUAUACUAUAAAGUGCUAUAUUGCUGUAUGUUAUAAUAGUUACUAUAUAUGCUCACUUCUGUCUUACCUUUAACAUGCUUCUGAUCCUUUGUAAUGUCCAUUCCUAACUGCCUUGCACACCCAUUAGCUAGUCUUCUUUUUGAGAGGUGGGAAAACUAAAAGAAUAUAUUUUAGGUUCCUACUAGCAUAUUUAAAACUACUCAAUUUACAACAUUCAAAAAAUAUUAGCUGAUUUAUUUCAGGAAGGAUUUAAGGUACUUUAUCUGUGGAACCCACAAGAUUAAAAAGAAAGAAGCGAAGAAGUUACAGUUAAAAAAGAAAACACAGGAGGAUGCAGCUUUGCCCUGUGGACAGCAGUCAGAUGUCAACUAUGGACAGCAGUCACGUGUUAAUGGGCUGGAUACAUUGAUUACCAGCUAUUAAACAUCAUUCAUGGGACGCCUGGAUGGCUCAGUCAGUUGAAUGUCUGCUUCUUGAUUUUGGCUCAGUUCAUCAUGUCACAUUUCAUGAGACUGAGCCCCGGAUCAGGUUCUGUGCUGAGAGUGCAGAGCCGGCUUG